CAAAUUUGAAGAGAAAGAGGCAAGUCUUGGAGAAGAGGAAUGAGCUUGAAGAUGUCCAUUCAUGGUGCCCAACCGAAAGUGCAAUCGGAAGCUUCACAUUGAAUAAGGUGUUCGAGUAUAAAGAUUUAGUUGCCGUUAAUCGAGUCGGUUGUCGCUCUGAUACGUAGCACUCGGGGGGUCGAUUUAUGAUGUUGUUGUUUAUUGUUUUAGCUUAGCUGAAUAAGAUGUUUUUGAUUUAAAGAUUGAGAACUAUGAUUCCGCCAUGUUCUAAUGAAAGAAGUUGUUCUGUUUUGAGAAGUAUUAUGUA